AGAAAAUAAGAAUCAAUCCCAGGAUCUAAUGGAGAUCUGGCCAAGCUGAGUGGGUUGUUCAGCACCCUCAGCUCUGUGCUGCAAUACUUCAGGCCCUGGCUCAGAAGGACCAAAACAAAGAAUUGCUCAAAAAUAUUAAAGACAAGAACAAACCCCAAGCCUCAUCUCGUGUGUAUCGUCACACUCGGAAAAAGAACGGGAUGGGAGAAGAUGAUGCUGCUGCAGACGUGGAAGUGCCUGAGCUGGAGAAAUGCAGAGAACAUCUGAAUUCCAUCCUUGCCCACUGGGACCCUGUUUGUCCACACAGGGAGGGGAGACCCUCAGCGCCGGUGGAAUGGUGGAAGAGGAUGCGGACAAGACAGCUGUGUCUGUAUUCCUGACUUCCGUUUACCUUGGAGACAUGUGCCUUGGAACACAGGAGCUGGAUGUGUUACUUACCCGUGUCAGAUUGGUCUGCACUAGUGCAGAUUAUGAGUUACAGGGUGACUCAGACACUCAGAAACAAGGGGAAGAAGCUGUUAUGUCUCUUUGCAAGAAAUUUGGCUCCAUCAGGGCAUUAAUUCAGGGGACUAACACUUCACCUUUAACAUUCUUCUCUGCUCCAUCAGCAUCACUGUGAGAGCCUCCUGAGCUGUUCUCAUAUAGACCUACCUUGUUUGGUCAGAAAAACCAGUAUUUUAUUACUGGGUGCAAACUCGGGGAAGAUUUGAUUCAACAUCUCUCAGUGGGACAUUAAAGCUCCAAUUUCCCUUUUCUUGAACAGUUUGAGAGACAAUACGUAAUGUAAUUACAAUUGUGUAAUUUUUAUUACAGGCAUUUUUAUCUUUUCGAAGAACCAAAAAGACUGUUUGUGCAUGUGUCUCAGCAGCAGGCCCAGCACAGGCAGGCAGGUUUGGAAUUUUCUUUGCUGUGCUGCAGGUGUAUUCAAGACAUGGUUCCUCUUUGUUUGACAGAAGGAAGACAAAAAAAAAUAAUUCUUAGCAAAAGAGGAUGUUUUCUUUCCUGUCUAUCAAGCAGCCAAACACCACCAGCUAGCUAUCCAUAUUUUAAAAUCAGCUGGAGAACUUGCAUCCCAGGGACCUGGGGAGUGUCUGAAGAGAGCUCUGGCCAGCUCUGUUAGCUGUUAAGCAACCUGGAACAGCAGAGAGGAGGCUGGAAGAGUUCCAGUGCCCCAGUACCCAGAGACCCACCUGGUCAGGGCAGGUCACUCUUAGGCAGUGCUGCGACUGACCUGGGCCCAGGCAAAAUCACAGAACUGGAGCUGAGAUAAGACACAACUGAAAAAGUCUUUCAAAGGACAGGGAAGCUAAUUCCCGACUCUGGGUUUGGACAAAGACAAGUGCAGUGACAAUGUCUGAUAUAAUUUUCUGAGGGAGGUGUGAUUGGAAGGAUGAAGGCAGCUGCACAUCUGUACUUUACUGUGAGGGUGCUCGUACCCCACAUCCAAAUACUGAAUGGAGUUCUUCAUGGUGAGAGAUCUGUCUGGAGCCAGCAGGGAGCCCCGGGGUCCUGGAUUGAGUCUCUCCAAGAGCAAGAAACAGGGAUGAGGGAUGAGACAUGCAGAUCUUCCAACUCUCUGGGCAUCCAGCUUGGGUUUCUCUCCAACAUGACACCGUCUGGUAGGAAGGUGAUAGCCAGAAGAAUUGUGUUGUGCAUGGCUAUCAGGAACGCACAGCCUCCAGUGAAGUGCAUGGGACACCUGCAAGGAGCUGGCCCUGUCCUCCUUCUGCUGUGUGAAGUUCCAGCCUCAGCCAGGAACCAUUUCUGGCCACAAACCCUUAUUUUUCUGUGUCAUUUUGGAUGUUAAUACACAUCAUUGAAGCAAAUGUUAAUGCUCUGCAUCCCAGCAGCGUGAUCAUCAGCUGCCUUGGCAGGCAGAUGGGUUUGAAAUCAGUGGUCCCAUAUCAAGGAUUCCAUCCAGGACCUCUCUGUGUCUCAGGAUUCCACUGUGGCCUAAGUAGAGAGAGCUGUUGUGUGGCCUUUGGAAGGCACCAUGGCAGUGCCUGGUUUGUGGGCAGAUGUGCAGUACCUACUUACUUCAUCUCUGGUUAUACUUUGCUGGCGUUGAUCCGGAGCAGAACACACACAGCAAAAUAAGGAAAAGAAACGCCACCAACGCAGCAAGGCCGACCCAAAAGGCAAUGACGAUGGAGUCUGUGGGCACAGCAGGACAGAGCACUCCAAGUGCCAAUUUGUUAAAGGUCUUGGGAGCCUCCAGCAGGGAUGAGGGAAGGGCUGGGAAAAGCCUCCGGAGAGUGUUCUGGUGACUGGACCUGUGCAGAUGUUGGAACGUGGCUCCUUUUACACAACCACAGUGCAGGAAGCCUGAGUGGUUAUUGCCUAAUCCUGCAGGAGCUUUGGGGAGAGGCUCUCAGGAGGGGAAUUCCAGCCUUGAGAGCAGUUUAUACCAAGAGAAAUAGCAAGGGGAGUUUGUUGCCAAGUGCCUGUGCCCCUUCCUGCCAGAGCUCACCCUGGGUCAGGGGUGGCUCCGUGUGGUGGAAAAGUCUCUCCUCCAACCCGAGCUUCCAAAGAAAGGCUCAGCAGUCUCUGUUGUCCGGUCUCAAGGCAGUUUAUUGCAAGUUAUCUAAAAGAUUUUCUCCUUGAGCUGCUGUGGUUUGCUCACAGCUCAGGCAGAGGCACACACACACCCUGACAUCCUCUCUGACUCCCGACUGCUUCUUCUCUCCCCGCCCAGGGCUGCUGCUGCUCUUUUAUAUGGUACAUUACGUGUUACAUGUUUACAGUUUUUCCCCAAUGCCCAUUACCUAUAUUAAAUGGUGCCUUUCUACUCUAAACCAAUCUGUGAGUGCCAACAUCACCAAGAAGAUGGAGGUAAGGAAGAAGAAAGAGGGAGGACAGGACAGGCCCAAAUCCCUCCAUCUUAAAACCUCUGACCCCCAUGUACAAAACCAAAACCCCCCUGUACAGCACUCACAAAUUCUUCCCUCUACUUUGUGACUACUUCUACUAUAAUAUCUAAACUUUUGUGACUUCUUGUUCUUCCUGCAAGGUUGGUAAAUCAUUCCAUGGCUCAAACCCAAAAUCACAGCUGUUUCCAGCUGCCUGCCAGGGUCUCAAAUGCUUCUGACCAGGGCCUGGAACCUCCAGAAAUGUCUGAGGGACAUUUUGAGUUCUGACACCUCCCAGCACAUCAGUGCAGUGGAAGAGAAUGUGCCCUUGCCCUGUUCAGCUGCAGUGCCCCUGCAGCCACCAUGGAAGAGGGCAAGAUGUUGCCUGCUUUGUCAGGAGCAGAUGAUUUAUUUCAGGAACAAGAGGGCUGCAGUGCCAAAGUGUGUCCACAGCUGGUUCAGUGGGAGUGUGAGGUGCUGGGGGAGCAAAGGGAGCUGCUCUUUCAUGGAGGCUUCAGUGCUGUGCCAAUUUUAUUGCCUGAGCCUUGGGCUCACUGAGGGAGGGGACGGAUCCGCUCCCGCUCCCACAGCACCCAAAGGUGCCACUGGUUCCAAAACGCUCCUUCCUGGGGUCACUGUGGUGCUGCUGGGGCCUUGGGAAGUUUGGGUGCUUGCACUCACACCUGGGGGUUCACUUCAGAUGAGGUGGAAAAAGAAGGGUCACUGACUCCAGAGACAAAUACUGACCAAGACAAAAUAAAUCUGAAAGUAC
ensembl:lncRNA